rnacentral:rRNA from 1 species
UACGUAGGGUGCGAGCGUUAAUCGGAAUUACUGGGCGUAAAGCGUGCGCAGGCGGUUUUGUAAGCCAGGUGUGAAAUCCCCGGGCUCAACCUGGGAACGGCGCGCGAAACGGGGGGGGCUUGAGUUCGGGAGAGGAGCGUGGAAUUCCCAGUGUAGAGGUGAAAUGCACAGAUAUCAGGAGGAACACCGGUGGCGAAGGCGGUGCUCUGGGCCAGUACUGGACGCUGAGGAGCGAAAGCGUGGGGAGCGAACGAGGAUUGAUA